GGUUGCUGUGACAGACUGCCCCAGGGUGCAACCUGGAACUGAGAUACUGCUGAGCCCUCUGGGCCCCCUCUCAAGCUGUGAGGCUGUGACAAGCUACAGUCCUCUCCAGGACUUGCACUGAUACAGCCAUACACAAACAGGGACACACCCAGCUGCAGUUACAUGAAUGCUUUCUCUAACCAGUCACUCAUAAACCAACAAUAGAGAGGCUUCAGCCAGCCCCGCACCCCAGCUCCCCAGCCUCGGACCCCAGACCUCUACUAUCUUGCUCUGGUCAAAAGUGGCAUCUAUGUGCCUGCUGAGCAGAAAUGGAAGUGACAAAAUACCAAAAGAAGCAAUGAUCCUUGUAUUUCUGCACUCACCAGAAUGAGGAAAUACUGGAAAUCUAGACUAUCCAGAUGAGGAGCAUGCAAUAAACUGAGGGAGGUGAGA